AAACCUGACCCCUUUAUAAGGUCAUAUGCCCCUUCAAUGAAUUCCCAAACCCCUGACCCCUUUGUAUGAAAACGCUGAUUCUGUGUAAUGUUAGCUUUAUUACUACUGCUUUCCAAUCACCCUUACCCCUCUCUAGUCUUCAUCAGUUUUAAAUAUAUGUUCUUGCACUCCACUACACUCUUAGACUUAGGUUCUUCCCCUCUUUUGUGAGUCUUGCCUUGGGACCUAUGAGCUCUCUGUGAACUUGGACACAUAAGGGUUGGCCCUUUCACACUGCACUCAUCUCUAUCUGGUUAUGCAGACUUGGGUGUAAGCAUUGCCUAGUGUCUCUUGAGAACCUUAGGGAAUUUUGGCACACUUAGGUCUGAGAAAGGCUUUGAAACAAGUGGCAUUUGAGGUGUUUUGUUCCAUAACUCAGAGAGGAAGUCAGAAUCAGGCUUCAUCUGGUUGUAAUUUCUUCUUUUACAUUCUUUCUGAUGUAAUUCAAUAAUUGGUCUGUAAUAAACAUUUGGGUUUGGUUAUUGAAAAAAGGCUAGGUAAUUGUGCAUGCUUAUCUAUUAGAAGGGUAGAGAACAUGCCUAUAGGACAUAUUUUACUGCAUGUCUAUCUCUGCAUUUAGAGAACCUGUCUAUAAGACUUGUCUUAAAUUCUGCAUUUAGAUAACAUGACUAUAGGACUUGUCUUAAAUUCUGCAUGUUUACUACCACACUUAGACACCAUGUUCUUAGGAUGCAAUUGGUUAUAAUCCUGCAUCAUGUCCAAUAUAUUAAAAUUAGUACCUUUUCAUAGAAAUCAUGCCG
rnacentral:lncRNA from 1 species